rnacentral:miRNA from 1 species
AGGCAAGACUUUGGCAAAGC